UACGCCCGGACGAAAGCCGGAUUAAUACCGCAUACGACCUACGGGUGAAAGCGGGGACCGCAAGGCCUCGCGCUAUUGGAGCGGCCGAUGUCAGAUUAGGUAGUUGGUGGGGUAAAAGGCCUACCAAGCCUACGAUCUGUAGCUGGUCUGAGAGGACGACCAGCCACACUGGGACUGAGACACGGCCCAGACUCCUACGGGAGGCAGCAGUGGGGAAUUUUGGACAAAUGGGGGCAACCCUGAUCCAGCCAUGCCGCGUGCGGGAAGAAGGCCUUCGGGUUGUAAACCGCUUUUGUCAGGGAAGAAAUCUUCUGAGCUAAUACCUCGGGGGGAUGACGGUACCUGGAGAAUAAGCACCGGCUAACUACGUGCCAGCAGCCGCGGUAAUACGUAGGGUGCAAGCGUUAAUCGGAAUUACUGGGC
rnacentral:rRNA from 1 species